CCUACGGGUGGCAGCAGUGGGGAAUAUUGCACAAUGGGGGAAACCCUGAUGCAGCGACGCCGCGUGAGUGAAGAAGUAUUUCGGUACGUAAAGCUCUAUCAGCAGGGAAGAAAAUGACGGUACCUGACUAAGAAGCCCCGGCUAACUACGUGCCAGCAGCCGCGGUAAUACGUAGGGGGCCAGCGUUAUCCGGAUUUACUGGGCGUAAAGGGAGCGUAGACGGCAGCGCAAGUCUGGAGUGAAAUCCCAUGGCUUAAACAUGGAACUGCUUUGGAAACUGUGCAGCUAGAGUGCAGGAGAGGUAAGUGGAAUUCCUAGUGUAGCGGUGAAAUGCGUAGAUAUUAGGAGGAACACCAGUGGCGAAGGCGGCUUACUGGACUGUAACUGACGUUGAGGCUCGAAAGCGUGGGGAGCAAACAGGAUUAGAUACCCCAGUAGUC
rnacentral:rRNA from 1 species